CCCAGCGUUCAUCAAUUAAGCUGCGGUUAACCGCAGCUUCAGGGAGGUUAAUUGCCGGCACACUCCAGCUCCCAGGUGGUCCAGUCAUUCGUACGGUUGUUCGGUAGAUUGAAACUACCGAACAACCGGCAGAAAAGCACGAAUACAGCUUUUCUGCAUGCAAAAAUAAAGUCUUUUACAAAGGGGGCCAUAGUCCAAAGGCAGCAGGCGAGCA